UAACGCGUGGAUAACCUGCCGUAUACCGGGGGAAAACANUUAGAAAUAGGUGCUAAUACCGCAUAAGCGCACGGCUCCGCAUGGGGCAGUGUGAAAAACUCCGGUGGUAUACGAUGGAUCCGCGUCUGAUUAGCUAGUUGGCGGGGUAACGGCCCACCAAGGCAGCGAUCAGUAGCCGGCCUGAGAGGGUGGACGGCCACAUUGGGACUGAGACACGGCCCAAACUCCUACGGGAGGCAGCAGUGGGGAAUAUUGCACAAUGGGGGAAACCCUGAUGCAGCGACGCCGCGUGAGUGAAGAAGUAUCUCGGUACGUAAAGCUCUAUCAGCAGGGAAGAAAAUGACGGUACCUGACUAAGAAGCCCCGGCUAACUACGUGCCAGCAGCCGCGGUAAUACGUAGGGGGCAAGCGUUAUCCGGAUUUACUGGGUGUAAAGGGAGCGUAGACGGCAGCACAAGUCUGGAGUGAAAUCCCGGGGCUUAACCCCGGAACUGCUUUGGAAACUGUGCGGCUGGAGUGCAGGAGGGGUAAGCGGAAUUCCUAGUGUAGCGGUGAAAUGCGUAGAUAUUAGGAGGAACACCGGUGGCGAAGGCGGCUUACUGGACUGUAACUGACGUUGAGGCUCGAAAGCGUGGGGAGCAAACAGGAUUAGAUACCCUGGUAGUCCACGCCGUAAACGAUGAUUACUAGGUGU
rnacentral:rRNA from 1 species